rnacentral:rRNA from 1 species
UACGUAGGGGGCUAGCGUUGUCCGGAAUCAUUGGGCGUAAAGCGCGUGUAGGCGGUCCGGUAAGUCCGCUGUGAAAGUCGGGGGCUCAACCCUCGAAUGCCGGUGGAUACUGUCGGGCUAGAGUGCGGAAGAGGCGAGUGGAAUUCCUGGUGUAGCGGUGAAAUGCGCAGAUAUCAGGAGGAACACCAAUUGCGAAGGCAGCUCUCUGGGACGUAACUGACGCUGAGGCACGAAAGCGUGGGGAGCAAACAGG